rnacentral:rRNA from 1 species
UACGAAGGGGGCUAGCGUUGCUCGGAAUCACUGGGCGUAAAGCGCACGUAGGCGGAUCUUUAAGUCAGGGGUGAAAUCCUGGAGCUCAACUCCAGAACUGCCUUUGAUACUGGAGAUCUCGAGUCCGGAAGAGGUGAGUGGAACUCCGAGUGUAGAGGUGAAAUUUGUAGAUAUUCGGAAGAACACCAGUGGCGAAGGCGGCUCACUGGUCCGGUACUGACGCUGAGGUGCGAAAGCGUGGGGAGCAGACAGG